rnacentral:rRNA from 1 species
UGUGUAGGCGGCGUUUUAAGUUUGGUGUGAAAUCUCCCGGCUUAACUGGGAGGGUGCGCCGAAUACUGAGAGGCUUGGAGUGCGGGAGAGGAGAGUGGAAUUCCUGGUGUAGCGGUGAAAUGCGUAGAUAUCAGGAGGAACACCGGUGGUGUAGACGGCUCUCUGGACCGUAACUGACGCUGAAACACGAAAGCGUGGGUAGCAAACAGGAUUAGAUACCCUGGUAGUCCACGCCCUAAACGAUGCAUAUUUGGUGUGGGUCAUUCAGUUGAUCCGUGCCGGAGCUAACGCGUUAAAUAUGCCGCCUGGGGAGUACAGUCGCAAGGCUGAA